rnacentral:siRNA from 1 species
CUUCACAUGUUGUGCCAAUUUAGC